CGUAACACGUGGGGAAUCUGCCGAGAAGUGGGGGAUAGCUCGCCGAAAGGCGAAUUAAUACCGCAUGUGAUCAGGGAAGACAUCUUUCCGACAUCAAAGCCGGGGCAACCUGGCGCUUCUUGAUGAUCCCGCGGCCCAUCAGCUAGUUGGUGAGGUAACGGCCUACCAAGGCGACGAUCGGUAGCUGGUCUGAGAGGACGAUCAGCCACACUGGGAUUGAGAACGGCCCAGACUCCUACGGGGGGCAGCAGUGAGGAAUUUUCGUCAAUGGGGGCAACCCUGAACGAGCAACGCCGCGUGCAGGAAGAAGGCUUUCGGAUCGUAAACUGCUUUUCUUGGGGAAGAGAACGGACGGUACCCAGGGAAGAAGCCCCGGCUAACUACGUGCCAGCAGCCGCGGUAAUACGUAGGGGGCAAGCGUUGUCCGGAUUUAUUGGGCGUAAAGCGCACGCAGGCGGUCUUUCACGUUUUGAGUGACAGGUGGUGGCUUAACUGCCACAGGCCUCGAAAUACGGGAAGACUUGAGGGCUUGAGAGGGAUACGGAAUUCCAGGUGGAGCGGUGAAAUGCGUAGAGAUCUGGAAGAACACCAAAGGCGAAGGCAGUAUCCUGGCAAGUCGCUGACGCUCAGGUGCGAAAGCUAGGGGAGCGAACGGGAUUAGAUACCCCGGUAGUCCUAGCCGUAAACGAUGACCACUAGACGUGGGGGGUAUCGACCCCUUCCGUGUCGAAGCUAACGCAUGAAGUGGUCCGCCUGGGGAGUACGGUCGCAAGAUUAAAACUCAAAGGAAUUGACGGGGACCCGCACAAGCAGCGGAGCGUGUGGUUUAAUUCGAUGCAACGCGAAGAACCUUACCAAGGCUUGACAUGGACUUGCACCAGCCGUAAUGGGCUGUCCCGAGAGGGCGAGUUCACAGGUGCUGCAUGGCUGUCGUCAGCUCGUGUCGUGAGAUGUUGGGUUAAGUCCCGCAACGAGCGCAACCCCUAUUGUUAGUUGAAUAAUCUAGCGAGACUGCCACGCUAAACGUGGAGGAAGGUGGGGAUGACGUCAAGUCAGCACGGCCCUUACGCCUUGGGCAACACACACGCUACAAUGGUCGGGACAAAGAGUCGCCAACCCGCGAGGGGGAGCCAAUCUCAUCAAACCCGAUCUCAGUUCAGAUUGCAGGCUGCAACCCGCCUGCAUGAAGGAGGAGUUGCUAGUAACCGUGGGUCAGCACACCACGGUGAUACGUUCCCGGUCUUGCACACACC
rnacentral:rRNA from 1 species